UACGUAGGGUGCAAGCGUUUGUCCGGAAUUAUUGGGCGUAAAGAGCUCGUAGGCGGCCUGUCGCGUCGGCUGUGAAAACUCAGGGCUCAACCCUGAGCCUGCAGUCGAUACGGGCAGGCUAGAGUCCGGCAGGGGAGACUGGAAUUCCUGGUGUAGCGGUGAAAUGCGUAGAUAUCGGGAGGAACACCUGUGGCGAAAGCGGCUCACUGGACCACAACUGACGCUGAGGCGCGAAAGCGUGGGGAGCGAACAGG
rnacentral:rRNA from 1 species